GUGCCAGCCGCCGCGGUAAUACGUAGGGUGCAAGCGUUAAUCGGAAUUACUGGGCGUAAAGCGUGCGCAGGCGGUUAUGCAAGACAGAUGUGAAAUCCCCGGGCUCAACCUGGGAACUGCAUUUGUGACUGCAUAGCUAGAGUGCGGCAGAGGGGGAUGGAAUUCCGCGUGUAGCAGUGAAAUGCGUAGAUAUGCGGAGGAACACCGAUGGCGAAGGCAAUCCCCUGGGCCUGCACUGACGCUCAUGCACGAAAGCGUGGGGAGCAAACAGGAUUAGAAACCCUAGUAGUCC
rnacentral:rRNA from 1 species